UACGUAGGAUCCAAGCGUUAUCCGGAUUUAUUGGGCUUAAAGGGUGCGUAGGCGGCCUGUUAAGUUAGGGGUGAAAGACGGUAGCUCAACUAUCGCAGUGCCCUUGAUACUGAUGGGCUUGAAUGGACUAGAGGUAGGCGGAAUGAGACAAGUAGCGGUGAAAUGCAUAGAUAUGUCUCAGAACACCGAUUGCGAAGGCAGCGUACUAUGGUCUUAUUGACGCUGAGGCACGAAAGCGUGGGGAGCAAACAGG
rnacentral:rRNA from 1 species